CCUACGGGAGGCAGCAGUGGGGAAUCUUGCGCAAUGGGCGAAAGCCUGACGCAGCAACGCCGCGUGCGGGAAGAAGGCCUUCGGGUUGUAAACCGCUUUCAGCAGGAACGAAAAUGACGGUACCUGCAGAAGAAGGAGCGGCCAACUACGUGCCAGCAGCCGCGGUGACACGUAGGCUCCAAGCGUUGUCCGGAUUUAUUGGGCGUAAAGAGCUCGUAGGCGGUUCAGUAAGUCGGGUGUGAAAACUCUGGGCUCAACCCAGAGCCUGCAUUCGAAACUGCUGUGACUAGAGUUUGGUAGGGGAGCGGGGAAUUCCUAGUGUAGCGGUGAAAUGCGCAGAUAUUAGGGGGAACACCGGUGGCGAAAGCGCCGCUCUGGGCCAAUACUGACGCUGAGGAGCGAAAGCGUGGGUAGCAAGCAGGAUUAGAUACCCUGGUAGUCCACGCCGUAAAACGAUGGGCAACUAGGUGUGGGUUUCAAACUAACGAAAAUCCGUGCCGUCGCUAAACGCAUUAAGUGCCCCGCCUGGGGAGUACGGUCGCAAAGAAACGUAAACUAACAAAGAAGUAAGUAAGGUACGAGUUAGAGAGUUACGACGACGACGACGAGGAGGGAGGAG
rnacentral:rRNA from 1 species